rnacentral:rRNA from 1 species
AUUGAACGCUGGCGGCAGGCCUAACACAUGCAAGUCGAACGAGUGGCGGACGGGUGAGUAAUGUCUGGGAAACUGCCUGCUGGAGGGGGAUAACUACUGGAAACGGUAGCUAAUACCGCAUACCAUCAGAUGUGCCCAGAUGGGAUUAGCUUGUUGGUGGGUUAACGGCUCACCAAGGCGACGAUCCCUAGCUGGUCUGAGAGGAUGACCAGACACACUGGAACUGAGACACGGUCCAGAAGCCUACGGGAGGAAGCAGUGGGGAAUAUUGCACAAGGGGCGAAAGCCUGAUGCAGCCAUGCCGCGUGUAUGAAGAGGGCCUUAGGGUUGGAAAGUACUUGCAGCGGGGAGGCGUUACCCGCAGAAGAAGCACCGGCUAACUCCGUGCCAGCAGCCGCGGUAAUUC